GGUAGUGUCAGCAGCUCCUGAACCAAUCCUCCUUGUCAGAAAUAUGGUAGAAACCACCAGGAUAUCUACAGAUCUGGCAGUAAUGUGUAUGUUGGGUUUGGCAACCCAGGUAUCAGGGUCAGAGAUUGUCCUUAGUCAGGUUCCCAGGGUUAGCAUAACCGCCCCUAUCUAAGUCCGAUCGCCUGAAUCAGCAAGGUGCGUCUUCUAGUGCCAUUAGUGGGUAAUGCCCAAACAGAC
rnacentral:lncRNA from 1 species